rnacentral:rRNA from 1 species
GACGAACGCUGGCGGCGUGCCUAAUACAUGCAAGUAGAACGCUGAAGAGAGGAGCUUGCUCUUCUUGGAUGAGUUGCGAACGGGUGAGUAACGCGUAGGUAACCUGCCUUGUAGCGGGGGAUAACUAUUGGAAACGAUAGCUAAUACCGCAUAACAAUGGAUGACACAUGUCAUUUAUUUGAAAGGGGCAAUUGCUCCACUACAAGAUGGACCUGCGUUGUAUUAGCUAGUAGGUGAGGUAGCGGCUCACCUAGGCGACGAUACAUAGCCGACCUGAGAGGGUGAUCGGCCACACUGGGACUGAGACACGGCCCAGACUCCUACGGGAGGCAGCAGUAGGGAAUCUUCGGCAAUGGGGGCAACCCUGACCGAGCAACGCCGCGUGAGUGAAGAAGGUUUUCGGAUUGUAAAGCUCUGUUGUAAGUCAAGAACGAGUGUGAGAGUGGAAAGUUCACACUGUGACGGUAGCUUACCAGAAAGGGACGGCUAACUACGUGCCAGCAGCCGCGGUAAUACGUAGGUCCCGAGCGUUGUCCGGAUUUAUUGGGCGUAAAGCGAGCGCAGGCGGUUUGAUAAGUCUGAAGUUAAAGGCUGUGGCUCAACCAUAGUUCGCUUUGGAAACUGUCAAACUUGAGUGCAGAGGGGGAGAGUGGAAUUCCAUGUGUAGCGGUGAAAUGCGUAGAUAUAUGGAGGAACACCGGUGGCGAAAGCGGCUCUCUGGUCUGUAACUGACGCUGAGGCUCGAAAGCGUGGGGAGCGAACAGGAUUAGAUACCCUGGUAGUCCACGCCGUAAACGAUGAGUGCUAGGUGUUGGAUCCUUUCCGGGAUUCAGUGCCGCAGCUAACGCAUUAAGCACUCCGCCUGGGGAGUACGACCGCAAGGUUGAAACCCAAAGGAAUUGACGGGGGCCCGCACAAGCGGUGGAGCAUGUGGUUUAAUUCGAAGCAACGCGAAGAACCUUACCAGGUCUUGACAUCCCGAUGCUAUUUCUAGAGAUAGAAAGUUACUUCGGUACAUCGGUGACAGGUGGUGCAUGGUUGUCGUCAGCUCGUGUCGUGAGAUGUUGGGUUAAGUCCCGCAACGAGUGCAACCCCUAUUGUUAGUUGCCAUCAUUCAGUUGGGCACUCUAGCGAGACUGCCGGUAAUAAACCGGAGGAAGGUGGGGAUGACGUCAAAUCAUCAUGCCCCUUAUGACCUGGGCUACACACGUGCUACAAUGGUUGGUACAACGAGUUGCGAGUCGGUGACGGCAAGCUAAUCUCUUAAAGCCAAUCUCAGUUCGGAUUGUAGGCUGCAACUCGCCUACAUGAAGUCGGAAUCGCUAGUAAUCGCGGAUCAGCACGCCGCGGUGAAUACGUUCCCGGGCCU